AUGAUCCAAUCGAUGACAGCCAGGAAGAGAAUGGGGGAGAGAAGAGUACAGUUGACAAAACAAACACAUUACGGCAUCAUUUACUUUUCUGUCAGCCCCAUUUUCCAUUCCAUUUUUGUCUAGCACUUUAAAUCCAAGUACCGUAUGAUACAUAGCGUCAGGUAGUUCAAAGCAUUUACACUGCGCAGUAUGUACUUUGAGUAUAGAUAACGUUCGUUAUUUACUGACUUGCUCAUGAGUCAAUACAGCCAGUUUCAGGUUCAUUUGCACUGUAAACUAAACUGGAGGAAAAUAAUGAAACAACUGGAGUUCUUGGUAAGUUACACACACACACACACACACACACACAUACACACAUAGUGUUGGUGUUUUGAAUGCACCUUCAGGUUAUAAUCUUUAAGAACUGCAUUAGAUCAAACCCCAUUUUUUAGAAUAUUUAUGGGCGGCCUUUUUUUGUAUUACAUUAACUGCCUUUCUAUGUAGUACUUCAUAGUUAGUGGUGGAGUCUGCCAUUCCCACACAGGUUCCAAAUAGUGUAACUAUGCAUGCAUGUGCGGGAUGUAUGGCAGAGGGCAAAAGCAGGUGCAGUGUCUGGUGGACAUUGGGGGUUAAUCUUCUUUAUGAAAACAUAAUGUAAACUGCGCUGUAAACAAACAUACAAGUUGCUCUUCUUCAGUUGCAUUUCUGAUGUGGAGCACAUCAUUUUCCAUGCUUUGGUAUUGUUCGUCUGCCUGUUGGAAAAGCACUAAGGACCAGACACACACAAAAGCACACACACACAUGCAAACACACACACACACAUCCACACUUCCUUUUACACGCUGAAAAAAAUGCUUCACUCAAAUAAAUAACACAAACACGCACAUACUUGUUCCUAAAGACAACUUUGCAUCAUCCAAAUGACUCAGUAUGACCACUGAAAUUUGCCAUGAGGAACUAAACAUCCUGCUUACUUUCCUAUCAAAUGAAGUGGUCUGGUCUGGAUAAUAAAGUAGCACUCAAGGAUUUGAGUGUUCUGCUGUGAUGCAGUUACACGUGUUGACCUUUCCUCAGGUACUGAAAAUGAGACUUGCUGAAGCAGCUUUGUUUUAUGUAUCUGCACAGUGAUGAGACAGUAAAACAACUUGAUAAAGAUGCUAUCUGAAGAUUUUUGAAUACUCGCACACAUUGUCAAAAUGAUUGUGACAUCGUGGUAGCAAGAGUAAACAAAUGAGACCAUGUUGAUUGUCGGUGAGGGAGAGCAAGUUAUUUUUUUGUAUAGCACAUUCAACAACAAGGCAAUGCCAAUCAACUGCAACCAUUAAAGCUGUGCUGGCAGAGCAGAAAAUGUUCAGUUUGCAUUAGCAGUAACUUAAUACAGCUCAAAUACAGCUCUGAUACGAAUGUAAGAGUGAUCCCUAAACAGUGAGGCUGAUAUCUGUUACAAGUAAUUACAGGUCUCUAUGAGUUAAAUGAAACUCCAAACCACUAAGAUUGAGUUACAAGCUAUUAAAGUACAUUUUCUCUAGUUACCAGGCCAACCACACAUACAGUACAUUGAGCCAAUCAGUUUAGCACAAGACACAGCUUGUCAUGCUGGAAGGGAAAGGGGGAAAAAAAAAACUUUUUUGGGAGAUACAGGUGAGUUGGGCACCUUUUGUGACACUGAAUUAAAGUCAAUAAUAUCAAGUUUUACAACCAUUUCAGAUCAAUUAGUAACUUCCUAUUGGAGCUCCUCUCAAUGGAGAUGUCUUGUGUUUUUUUUUUUUUUUUUAAUGGAAAUCUCCAUUACAAGCUCUUUCCUGGUUUAACUCUAAUACUCAUCAAUGAAACUUGCCAUGAAUGUUUUUAUUGCCUCAUUUGACAGCAGGGCACACCUUUCGAAACUUAAAAGGAAGAUCAUGUUGGCACAGAAAAGUUGGUAAGUUUCAACACACGUGACUUACGGGAACACAGUCAUGUUCAUCCUGUAUUAGUCACUGCAGCUGGAUGAUAACUGGUGGAUAGAAUUUGUUAAAUAGAGGUUUACACUCACAGUCUCCAAAAUGAAUGUUUGUGCCUGCCAUAUGAAUGUAACUAAAAUAGAACCAUGCCAUGGUCUUAUGGCUCUGGUAAAUAACCACAAACCAACAGUGAGGCAGUCACUGUAGUUUGACCAUUGUUCUCAUGUUUUUAUUGUGACAGUGAAAAGGUUGUAACAUUCUUUAUUUUCUGCUGCAAACGUUUUGUACUGUAUUGAGGCUCUGAUGAUGACUACCUUAUAUGGUUUGUAAUUCUUAACUAUGCACUUUAGCCAUGAAAUAGGAUUUUUUUUAAUCCACACCUUCUAAACAUUUCUUUCCUCUUUGUACAAUUUGGCACUCAAACAGUUUUCAUUUAGAAUGUAACAUUUUGGGGGGCAGUGAAUCUGCAUUGUCAGUGAUAAUAAUUGAUAUCAUAAUGACUUUUUGGUUCAUGAUUUCUAAUAUGGAGACAAGCAAUUUGUUAAAUGCUAACAGUAUAAUGGAAGGCCAUUCCCUUUGCUAAUUGUUGGUGGUAUCCUGCUAAAAAAAGACUAACAUUAAGCUUAAUAUUACAUAAAUCCACUCAGUAUAUUGUCUGUAGAGCACCCGCUUCUUUUUUUCUUCACUACACUGUAGACUGCAGCCAUUGGCCAUCACUCACUAACUUGAGUCAGUCACUCAUGGACAUCAUGAAAAGUCACUACUUGUCCAAACAUGUGCUUUCAUGCAAAUUAUGGUUGAUGACUGUCCAAUCGCUAACUUGGAUGCAAACCUAUUUGGUGCUGUGGAGGCUGCACCUUGUUUGCUCUUAUGCAAACCGGGACACAAUGACGUUCAGACAACUUUUUGAUCCAGAGGAAACACUUAAAAACCACUGGAUACAGAUGUGAAAUGUAGUCAACAUUCAACUUGAUGAUGGAUUGAGUCAACAAUGUAGAUCCACUGUGUACUGGACAGUUUUAUGCUUGUUUUCUACACUUUUAACAAUAAAUUGAAGGUUUAGAUUACAACACACAUACAUUUAUUACAGAUUCAAUUGCUGCUCUUGACUAACAUGGUCCAUUUAACUAUUGUGUGCACUUACUGUUUUCCUGUGCAAUGAACGAUUAUUUGUGACAUUACAGGUGUGCUUGCUUUUGAUGUGGUUUAGAUAAUCUUGCUAGCCUGUUGGCGUUUUUACAACCUGUAUCGUCUGACUGCUGGAGUUUGUUGCCCAGUUGGACCAAUUUUUUUUUUAGAUGUUUUCACAUUCUGAGAUCUCAGCAACUACUUUGAAUUACAGAGGCAAAAGCACCCUCCAUGUUGUUGAUAGACGAGCAUUUACAGAUCUCACCUAAGCCACCACCAAGGCUAGAGCCAGCACUGCAAGUCUCUCUUUCCAUCUGACAAACACCAGCCUGCAGCCAAGAUGAAGCUCUGUGCAGACUGCAGGCUGUAACACCAUGAAGGGUGUUGUUUUGCACAGCCACUGUUAGUGUCAUUGGAUGGGAGGUCAUGUGACAGGAAAACUGACAAAGAUCUAGAUGGUAGACUUC